rnacentral:antisense_RNA from 1 species
UUCAAUGGUGGUUCAGGCAGGGGAGGCUUCGGCCUCGCUGGUUAUAGUUACCCAGUCUGCAAACCCUGUCUGGAUCGCCACCAUC